rnacentral:rRNA from 1 species
CAGCCGUAAACUAUGCGCGUUAGGUGUAUCGGUGACCACGAGUUACCGAGGUGCCGAAGGGAAACCGUGAAACGUGCCGCCUGGGAAGUACGGUCGCAAGGCUGAAACUUAAAGGAUUGGCGGGGGAGCACCACAACAGGUGGAGCCUGCGGUUUAAUUGGACUCAACGCCGGACAACUCACCGGGGACGACAGCAAUAUGUAGGCCAGGCUGAAGACCUUGCCUGAAUCGCUGAGAGGAGGUGCAUGGCGUAGACGUCU